rnacentral:rRNA from 1 species
UACGAAGGGUGCAAGCGUUACUCGGAAUUACUGGGCGUAAAGCGUGCGUAGGUGGUUUGUUAAGUCUGUUGUGAAAGCCCCGGGCUCAACCUGGGAAUGGCAAUGGAUACUGGCAAGCUAGAGUGCGGUAGAGGGUAGUGGAAUUCCCGGUGUGGCGGUGAAAUGCGUAGAGAUCGGGAGGAACACCAGUGGCGAAGGCGGCUACCUGGACCAGCACUGACACUGAGGCACGAAAGCGUGGGUAGCAAACAGG